UACGGAGGAUGCGAGCGUUAUCCGGAUUUAUUGGGUUUAAAGGGUGCGUAGGUUGUUUUUUAAGUCAGCGGUGAAAGUUUGUGGCUCAACCAUAAAAUUGCCGUUGAAACUGUUUUUCUUGAGUACUGGAGAGGCAGACGGAAUUCCUAGUGUAGCGGUGAAAUGCGUAGAUAUUAGGAGGAACACCAGUGGCGAAGGCGGUCUGCUGGACAGCAACUGACGCUGAGGCGCGAAAGCGUGGGGAGCAAACAGG
rnacentral:rRNA from 1 species